CUACGGGUCGCUGCAGUGGGGAAUAUUGCACAAUGGGGGAAACCCUGAUGCAGCAACGCCGCGUGAAGGAUGAAGGCCCUUGGGUCGUAAACUUCUGUUCUAAGGGAAGAUAAUGACGGUACCUUAGGAGCAAGUCCCGGCUAACUACGUGCCAGCAGCCGCGGUAAUACGUAGGGGGCAAGCGUUAUCCGGAAUUAUUGGGCGUAAAGCGUGCGUAGGCGGUUUUUUAAGCACGGGGUUUAAGGCAAUGGCUUAACCAUUGUUCGCCCUGUGAACUGGGAGACUUGAGUGCGGGAGAGGAAAGCGGAAUUCCUAGUGUAGCGGUGAAAUGCGUAGAUAUUAGGAGGAACACCAGUGGCGAAGGCGGCUUUCUGGACCGUAACUGACGCUGAGGCACGAAAGCGUGGGGAGCAAACAGGAUUAGAUACCCGCGUAGUC
rnacentral:rRNA from 1 species